rnacentral:rRNA from 1 species
GUACGUGAUAACUGUCGAGAUAGAAGAACAAGCUGGGAAGCUUGACCAUAGUGGGUGAUAGUCCCGUAUUCGAAAUCUCAACAGUGGUACUAAGCGUACGAAAAGUAGGGCGGGACACGUGAAAUCCUGUCUGAAUAUGGGGGGACCAUCCUCCAAGGCUAAAUACUCAUCAUCGACCGAUAGUGAACCAGUACCGUGAGGGAAAGGCGAAAAGAACCCCGGGAGGGGAGUGAAAUAGAACCUGAAACCUGAUGCAUACAAACAGUGGGAGCACCCUUGUGGUGUGACUGCGUACCUUUUGUAUAAUGGGUCAACGACUUACAUUCAGUAGCGAGCUUAACCGAAUAGGGGAGGCGUAGGGAAACCGAGUCUUAAUAGGGCGAACAGUUGCUGGGUGUAGACCCGAAACCGAGUGAUCUAUCCAUGGCCAGGUUGAAGGUGCCGUAACAGGUACUGGAGGACCGAACCCACGCAUGUUGCAAAAUGCGGGGAUGAGCUGUGGAUAGGGGUGAAAGGCUAAACAAACUCGGAGAUAGCUGGUUCUCCCCGAAAACUAUUUAGGUAGUGCCUCGAGCAAGACACUGAUGGGGGUAAAGCACUGUUAUGGCUAGGGGGUUAUUGCAACUUACCAACCCAUGGCAAACUAAGAAUACCAUCAAG